UGCCAGCAGCCGCGGUAAUACGGAGGGCGCAAGCGUUACUCGGAAUCACUGGGCGUAAAGAGCGUGUAGGCGGGUUAAUAAGUUUGAAGUGAAAGCCCACGGCUCAACCGUGGAAUUGCAUUUGAUACUGCAUCGCUAGAGUAUAGGAGAGGGAAGUGGAAUUUCUGGUGUAGGAGUGAAAUCCGUAGAGAUCAGAAGGAACACCGGUGGCGAAGGCGACUUCCUGGACUAUUACUGACACUGAGGAGCGAAAGCGUGGGGAGCAGACAGGAUUAGAUA
rnacentral:rRNA from 1 species